AUAACCAUAAAAAAACAAAUGGGCUUGUUGCGGAUUGCGAUGAGCUAGGAUAGAACCUGAGACCGUGUGGUUUGCAGCCGAGUAACAUGACCACAAUACAAAAGCAAUUGCUCGAGUAGCAUAGCUGUUAAGUGGCUUAUAAGAUUUCAUCACAGACGCUCCCUCCAGUGAAUCAGACGUCGAAGACAUCGAAUAUCAAGGAAAGUGAAGAAGAUCUGUGAUGUCCGUCUCUUAUGCAAAUCAUUCCGAAUCAAUUGACCUUCAAUCAUUCUAAAAGAAUCAUCCUCUCGGAUUAUUUUUGGUGUUGGCCUCUACCGUCACACCUACUAAAGUGCCCCUCUGUUUGGACUUGGUAAAAAUGUCAGGUAGUCUUCGACGUUCUUUUUGAGUUCGUCCUUGAAAUUUAAGACCGGUCCCGCCUUUGACUUAAUUUCACUAUAAAAGAUGAAGAUGCCUCCAUUUCCGAAUAUUUGUAUCCCGAGGUCAUCAUCAGUUGCGGUAGAUCUGCAAUCACAACCGUCAAAAUGAAAGCCCUGCUGGCAGUUACUUUGGCUGUUUUGCUUAUUGUGUCCACCGUACAUGCGGAAGAGAAAAAGGAUGCUGCAAAGGCCGAAGAGAAAAAGCCUGUAGAGAAAGUAGUGUGGCCUGGACUCUACCUUCCAGGUCCAGCCUUUAGAGCCCCCGUACACGUCGUUCCCUUACACUACCAGCCUAUCCAUACAUAUUGGUAUUAAAUUGAUCAAAGAUGAUUUGACUUUCUGGAAAAGAUAAGGUUGAAAUUCGAAGACUUUAGCUUUACGUCAAGAAGUGGCUUAUUUUGUAUCAUUUAAAUUUUGUAUCGCUAAAAUGUUUUCUUUUGUGCAACAAUGAGCUUUUUAUUGGUGACUUUUCAGUCGCAGACAGCUUUUCAUGAAUUAAUUUUUUAAAUUUGAAUAAAAAUACGCUUUUUGCAAAAUA